AGUGAACGCUGGCGGUGGGCCUAACACAUGCAAGUCGAACGGCAGCACAGUAAGAGCCUGCUCUUACGGGUGGCGAGUGGCGGACGGGUGAGGAAUACAUCGGAAUCUACUUUUUCGUGGGGGAUAACGUAGGGAAACUUACGCUAAUACCGCAUACGACCUACGGGUGAAAGCAGGGGAUCUUCGGACCUUGCGCGAUUGAAUGAGCCGAUGUCGGAUUAGCUAGUUGGCGGGGUAAAGGCCCACCAAGGCGACGAUCCGUAGCUGGUCUGAGAGGAUGAUCAGCCACACUGGAACUGAGACACGGUCCAGACUCCUACGGGAGGCAGCAGUGGGGAAUAUUGGACAAUGGGCGCAAGCCUGAUCCAGCCAUACCGCGUGGGUGAAGAAGGCCUUCGGGUUGUAAAGCCCUUUUGUUGGGAAAGAAAAGCAGCAGGUUAAUACCCCGCUGUUCUGACGGUACCCAAAGAAUAAGCACCGGCUAACUUCGUG
rnacentral:rRNA from 1 species